GGCAUAUUAGACCCGAUUCUUCUGAAUUGCAGGGGGCAUGGAUUUCGGCUUCAGAAAAUGGUGCGAAGAGGGGGGAGGCAAUCUCUGACCCACAACCACGACAGGCAAGGCCCUCAAAAGAAGUCAGUUCUGUUCUGACCCUGCGAUAUCUGCCUCUUGGAAACAGAGGCUAAAAGACCUACAGGAACCCCGGUCCUCUGCCUGCAGCUGGGAUCGGAAUCUUCUCCGCAACGGGGAACAAAUCACCGGGUCCCCUUCAAUAAAGGAUUUCUACUCAAUCCGGCCUCGUCUAAAAAUAAUAAAAAAAAAUAUUAAAAAUAGAGCGUCCACGCAAGAAGUCAUUGGGUUAAGCAGGCUGGACCAUUUUUGGACAUUUUGUCUCUUGAAAAAAAAAAAAAAGGAAAGGAAAA